rnacentral:rRNA from 1 species
GAAGAAAGAGGGAGGCGUGCCUAAUACAUGCAAGUCGAGCGGACGGAUGGGAGCUUGCUCCCAGACCGUCAGCGGCGGGCGGGUGAGUAACACGUGGGCAACCUGCCUGUAAGACUGGGAUAACUCCGGGAAACCGGGGCUAAUACCGGAUAACUCUUUCCCUCACGUGAGGGAAAGCUGAAAGAUGGCAUCUCGCUAUCACUUACAGAUGGGCCCGCGGCGCAUUAGCUAGUUGGUGAGGUAACGGCUCACCAAGGCGACGCUGCGUAGCCGACCUGAGAGGGUGAACGGCCACACUGGGAGUGAGACACGGCCCAGACUCCUACGGGAGGCAGCAGUAGGGAAUCGUGCGCGAUGGGCGAAAGUCUGACGGAGCAACGCCGCGUGGGUGAAGAAGGGUUGCGGAUCGGAAAACGCUGUUGUCGGGGAAGAACGAGUACCGGAGUAACGGCCGGUAGCUUGACGGUACCGGGCCAGAAAGCCACGGCUAACUACGUG